ACUAAAGCUAGCCCAACCAAACUAUAUUACAACUAACCCUAGAAUAUAAAACAAAACAUUUAUUAACCUAAUAAAAGUAUAGGCGAUAGAAAUUAUAUUAUGGCGCUAUAGAGACAGUACCGUAAGGGAAUGAGUGAAAGACCUAAUUAAAAGUACCAAAAAGCAAAGUUUAUCACUUCUACCUUUUGCAUAAUGAGUUAACUAGAAAUUCUUAGCAAAGAGAUCUUAAGUUAAAAACCCCGAAACCAGACGAGCUACCCAAAAGCAGCAUAUCAGAGCGAACUCGUCUAUGUAGCAAAAUAGUGAGAAGACUUCUGGGUAGAGGUGAAAAGCCUAACGAGCCUGGUGAUAGCUGGUUGUCCAGAAAAGAAUAUAAGUUCAACUUUAAUUUCUACAAAAAAAAAUUAAAAUUUUAAUGUAAAAUUAAAGGCUAGUCUAAAGAGGUACAGCCCUUUAGACACAGGAUACAACCUUCAUUGGUGAGUAAGAAUAUUAUAAAACCAUAGUAGGCCCAAAAGCAGCCAUCAAUUAAGAAAGCGUUCAAGCUCAACAAAAACACAAGUAAUAAUAUCAAACAUUUUUAACUAGCUCCCAACUUUUAACUGGACUAAUCUAUUUAAUAAUAGAAGAAAUACUGUUAAUAUGAGUAACAAGAAAAAUUUUCUCCUAGCACAAGUUUAUAUCAGAACGGAUGCCCACUGAUAGUUAACAACAAGAUAAACAUAACUAAAAAUAAAAACCUUAUCAAAAAAAACUGUUAACCCAACACAGGUGUGCUAUAAUUUAAAGGAAAGAUUAAAAGAAGUAAAAGGAACUCGGCAAACACAAACCCCGCCUGUUUACCAAAAACAUCACCUCUAGCAUUUAUAGUAUUAGAGGCACUGCCUGCCCAGUGACAUUAGUUAAACGGCCGCGGUAUCCUGACCGUGCAAAGGUAGCAUAAUCAUUUGUUCUCUAAUUAAGGACUUGUAUGAAUGGCCACACGAGGGUUUUACUGUCUCUUACUUCCAAUCAGUGAAAUUGACCUUCCCGUGAAGAGGCGGGAAUAAAAAAAUAAGACGAGAAGACCCUAUGGAGCUUUAAUUAACUAGCUUAAGUAAACAGCACAUUAACCCGCUUAAGGGAUAAAAACCUUACCUAGUAAGCUAGCAAUUUCGGUUGGGGUGACCUCGGAGCAUAAAACAACCUCCGAGUGAUUUUAGAUGAGACCUACAAGUCGAAUCCUAAGUCAUAAUUGAUCCAAUAAUAAUAAUUGAUCAACGGAACAAGUUACCCUAGGGAUAACAGCGCAAUCCUAUUUGAGAGUCCUUAUCGACAAUAGGGUUUACGACCUCGAUGUUGGAUCAGGACAUCCCAAUGGUGCAGCCGCUAUUAAUGGUUCGUUUGUUCAACGAUUAAAGUCCUACGUGAUCUGAGUUCAGACCGGAGUAAUCCAGGUCGGUUUCUAUCUAUUAUAUAUAUAUUUCUCCCAGUACGAAAGGACAAGAGAAAUAGGGCCUAUUCCACAGGAAAGCCCUAUCAGUCGAACAGAUGAUAUCAUCUAAAUCUAAUAGACUAUAUAAUUUUAACUGCCUUAGAAAAAGGCUCC
rnacentral:rRNA from 1 species